UGCAGUCGAACGGUAGUCACAGAGAGCUUGCUCUCGGGUGACGAGUGGCGGACGGGUGAGUAAUGUCUGGGAAACUGCCUGAUGGAGGGGGAUAACUACUGGAAACGGUAGCUAAUACCGCAUAACGUCUUCGGACCAAAGUGGGGGACCUUCGGGCCUCACACCAUCGGAUGUGCCCAGAUGGGAUUAGCUAGUAGGUGGGGUAAUGGCUCACCUAGGCGACGAUCCCUAGCUGGUCUGAGAGGAUGACCAGCCACACUGGAACUGAGACACGGUCCAGACUCCUACGGGAGGCAGCAGUGGGGAAUAUUGCACAAUGGGCGCAAGCCUGAUGCAGCCAUGCCGCGUGUAUGAAGAAGGCCUUCGGGUUGUAAAGUACUUUCAGCGGGGAGGAAGGCGAUAAGGUUAAUAACCUUGUCGAUUGACGUUACCCGCAGAAGAAGCACCGGCUAACUCCGUGCCAGCAGCCGCGGUAAUACGGAGGGUGCAAGCGUUAAUCGGAAUUACUGGGCGUAAAGCGCACGCAGGCGGUCUGUCAAGUCAGAUGUGAAAUCCCCGGGCUUAACCUGGGAACUGCAUUUGAAACUGGCAGGCUAGAGUCUUGUAGAGGGGGGUAGAAUUCCAGGUGUAGCGGUGAAAUGCGUAGAGAUCUGGAGGAAUACCGGUGGCGAAGG
rnacentral:rRNA from 1 species